rnacentral:rRNA from 1 species
UACGAAGGGUGCGAGCGUUGUUCGGAAUUAUUGGGCGUAAAGGGUUCGUAGGCGGGAGAAUAAGUUAAGUGUGAAAGGCCUGGGCUCAACCUGGGAGGGUCACUUAAGACUGUUUUUCUUGAGUAUCAGAGAGGGUGGUGGAAUUGCUGGUGUAGGAGUGACAUCCGUAGAGAUCAGCAGGAACAUCGGAGGCGAAGGCGACCACCUGGCCGGAGACUGACGCUGAGGAACGAAAGCGUGGGGAGCAAACAGG